UUGAAAGGGAAACGAUUGAAGUCAGUCGUACCGACGAGAAAUCAACUUAUCGUGUGCGAACUUGUGGACGUGCGUGAGUUUCGGCCUCGCUGUUUGCAUGUUUGUGCGCUUUGGGUGUACUUUUUCGUAUGGUAGGCCAACGUCAGUUUCGAUUAUCAUAAAAUGACCGGCGGAAUGUAGCUUCGACUUCGGUUGAAGUGUUAUAGCCUCUGGUAGAUGUGGUGAUUGGGACUGAGGAUUGCAACGAAUACCCUUUGGGCUAUCCGUCUGACCUCUGAAAGUUGCUCAGGUGCCGAAAGCGUGCUUACGGUCAUCUAAGAUAACGUUCAACAGGCUAGAACGUGAUUACAUUCGUUAAGGAUGUUGACGUA
rnacentral:rRNA from 1 species